GCCAGGGACCCCAGCCAUCUGAAGAUACCACCACAAUCUGAUGCACCAUGAAAUCUUCAAGAAACUCCUGCUCUGGGAUCUUUUGUUCAUUUUGCCACUUUUCACAUCUGAACUCCUCCCUCUUCAACAACGCAAAGCCACAGCAGACACAACUCCCACGAAACUCAGUCCUUAAAGACACCUUGUGAGACCUCAGUGUUUACCC
rnacentral:lncRNA from 1 species